CCUACGGGGUGCAGCAGUGAGGAAUAUUGGUCAAUGGCCGCAAGCCUGAACCAGCCAAGCCGCGUGAAGGAUGACUGUCCUAAGGAUUGUAAACUUCUUUUAUCAAGGAAUAAAAUCAGGCACGUGAGCCUUUUUUAGUGUACUUUAUGAAUAAGCAUCGGCUAACUCCGUGCCAGCAGCCGCGGUAAUACGGAGGAUCCGAGCGUUAUCCGGAUUUAUUGGGUUUAAAGGGAGCGUAGAUGGGUUGUUAAGUCAGUGGUGAAAGUUUGCGGCUCAACCGUAAAAUUGCAAUUGAUACUGGCAGUCUUGAGAACAGGUGAGGUAGGCGGAAUGCGUGGUGUAGCGGUGAAAUGCUUAGAUAUCACGAAGAACUCCGAUUGCGAAGGCAGCAUACUAAACUGGAACUGACAUUGAUGCUCGAAAGUGUGGGUAUCAAACAGGAUUAGAUACCCUAGUAGUC
rnacentral:rRNA from 1 species